GGUAGGAAAGAGAUUGGAAGGAGACACAGCCAGGACAGUUCACAUAAUUGGAUGAAGAUAUAUCCAUACGACACGGCAUCAUGCUCAGCAAUAAAAUAGGGGAGAGGAGGAGGGAAGAGAGUCCUCCAAGGAGUCACAGAUGAAGUUACUGAAGAGGAGCUGUGUUUGCAACAGAAGAGGGGAAAAAAGCAUAUUAUGAGCUACUUUCUUUGUUUUUAAAAUCAAAUUCAGUUACAGACAAACAAGAGACAGACUUCCUGGGCGUCCCACCUGCUGCACUGCAGAGAUAAUGUGAAUGACAGCCAUUGUGUGAUAUCACCUUGGGGAACAGCUCCAAACAGCCAGUCUUUAAUAGCUGUCUUCAUACUGGCUGAUUUAUACAUUAAUCAAUUAUAUAUGGCAUAAAUUGUAGCCCAGUAAGAAUUAUUUGGGCUCUUUUACGACAGGGAAUAUGACUUUUUUGCAAUCACUAGUAAAAGGCUACAGAUUUAUGCUGACCUGACAGCACAGGGUCUCAGGAAUCAACUGGGUUUGCAUUGGCCUAGCCUUGCUAUGGCUGGCUUAAUGCUUGCCAGCAGCCACCUAAGUUGAUGGUCUUCUGCUGUGAACCUCAUGGACAGUGAUGGACUGACAGUCCCCAUUGUCCCUGUGUACAAAACAGCAGCCCUUUGCUUAAGUGAGCCCAUUGUGCAACUUCCAAACCUUGGCUGGGAGCUGAAGAAGAAUAAUAUUGGGAGGAGAAAAUGAACAAGAUUAGUCCCAAGAAGACCCAAGGCUGAACAGGAACAAAAUUCCACUGUUAAGGUCUUCCCAGCAAGGGCUUUAGAAAACUACUGAUGUGACUCCCCACCAUCACUGUGAGAUGAGGGGGACAGAAACAGUCAAGCUGAGUCAAGCUUAGGACUCAGAGGCAAAAGUAUACAUCACAUUUUCACCAGGAGUGCUUUGGAUGUGAUAAGCUUUAGUUUACAAAUGAGCAUCUGCUAACAUCAACCUACAACCCUGGUUGGUAAAGGAUUGCCUGGAAGCCCAGAUGAGACAGAGGUGGAAAAAGCAUCUUCUGGGACAUGAAGUGAACACAGAGAUGGAAACUGUUGCAUUUACACUUAAAAAAAUAAACAAAGAAAAAGGAAAUUGAAGAGGGGAACAGGAGGAGAAAGACUUUUAAAUGAACCCUACCAGGAACAGGGCCCUGACUGAAUUGGACCUUCCCUCCAAGCAAGUAUGACUCUUCGCAUGCAUAAGAACCUGCUUAUCAGCAACUCUUUGUAGCAGAUGGUAGCCCCUCAAGAGCAAUAAAAAAAAAUAAAAUAAUGACAGUGACACUGAAAGAUACUGAAGAAGAAAAUCAAGCUAUCCUGGAGAAGGUUUAAUAGUAUUACCAGGUGACUGAAAAGUGCCUGUCAAAAUUGAAAGGAAGCAGGGUGGGGAGACAGAAUAGAAGAGAAUAUAAUUAAGAGAAGAGCAUUGGCCAACUGCAAGAUAGCCCCCACAUGGUCUGCAUUCUUGGAAAAGACAGCAAGCUGCUUCUUCCUAAUGCUGGUUGUUUUUAACCUGCUUGAAGAAUGACAUUGAAAUGAUACCAAUGUCCUAAGAGCCUUUGAAAUUCAAGUCCUCAAUGGUGAGGAAAUAAAAUUUUAAAUGGCAAAAAAGCAUAACAAA